AAUCUGGUUUCUCUUCAAAUCAUAUAAAUCUUUUGCCUUUUACUAAAGAUUUCCAUGGAGAAGGCCCAAUCCCAGAACGAUGCUUUUGUGCGCAUAAAAUGUAGCAUAUACG
ensembl:snRNA U5 U5 spliceosomal RNA